ensembl:lncRNA
AGAUUUAGCAUUGCCAGCACAGCCCCUAGGCCCAAGGCCAAGGAGGGCUGCACAACACCCAUGAGCCCCAGGACCCUCAAAGGCAUAUUCUUACCUGCUGCGGCGGCUGCUGCUGCUGCUAAAUCGCUUCAGUCGUGGCCCACUCUGUGCGACCCCGUAGAUGGCAGCCCACCAGACUCCCCCGACCCUGGGAUUCUCCAGGCAAGAACAUUGGAGUGGAUUGCCAUUUCCUUCUCCAAUGCAUGAAAGUGAAAAGUCAAAGUGAAGUCGCUCAAUUGUGUCCAACCCUCAGCAACCCCAUGGACCGCUGCUUUCCAGGCUCCUCCAUCCAUGGGAUUUUCCAGGCCAGGCUAAUACCUGCACUGACUUGGGCUAUGCCCUGACCCAAGUUUCAACCCAGCUUGAUUAUCUACCUCUGAUCCAAGCCUCAAGCCAAACCCUAGCUUCACCCGCAAGCUGGGAUCCACCCACCUGUCCUCCUGCUCCUGGCUCCUAGUAAAAGAAAAUUCAGAUCUUCUCUGGAUUGGAUGGCCAGACUCCCUGUGAAUCUGAUUUCCUCCCAAGCUGGCUACUUUAUUUCCAUCUGUCUUUGCCAUUAGCAGUCAAACCCUCAGUAAGAAAAAGGUGAAGCAGGGUGGGCUGAAGAAACUCCUGUGGGGAAAUGGCUAAUUGGAAACACUGAGGAGGAAUGUACAUCUCAAAUCUUAGCCAGGCCAAGGUGUUCUGAGGGAAUCUUCUUGAUCCCGGGAUCGAACUUGAUCCCAGGAAUCUUCUUGAUCCCGGGAAUCUCCUGCAAUUCUCCUGCAUUACAGGCAGAUUCUUUACUGCUGAGUCACUGGGAGGGGUGUCAGUCUGCAACUAGAGGGCCUCAACAUGGUUAUUCAAGAUGUCUUGUGGUAUAGUUGCUCCACCAUCUUCCCAUACUGGAAAAGCGGAGACACCAAGAUGCACAGCUGACUCCAGAAUUUUGCUCCUGCUUCUAGGAUAGGCAAGAUGGCCAGUUAUCACCCUCCUUGUGCUCAGAAUUCUGCCAGGUGGCAGAAGCCACCUGUUCUAGGAGAGCCUUCUCUUGGGACAAGUAUGUACAUUAUAAAUGAAAAGCUUAUUUUUAGCACCCUGAAUCCAUCAGAGACCACCAAAGUGGCCUUCAUUACCCAUUCUAGCUCAGCAUGACUGGAGGGCAGAGAUGGUAGGAAAACCUCUUGAGAAACUGACACAUCUUCCUCCAAAAUUGGAUCUUUGCCUGCUUCAACUCUCAUCUCUGUUUGCCAAAUAAAUAUUUAGGUACCUAAAACCUGGCAGAGUUUUAGCUCUGAGGACCCAGCAAUAAUCAAGAGACCCCAUGCCAGCCCUAUGGUUCUCAUAAUCGGUGAGGAGGAUAUCACAAAAUAACCACAGAUUUUGAAAUGAUCGAAAGUGCAGUGACCCUCAUAAUCUCUCCUGACACCUCGGCUCCAGCCUCAGUCUCAGUUUCUGUGCCCAUUUGAAGAAGUUUUGUUUCAAGUCCUUCGUGUCUGAGUCCCUCUGUGUCACCUGUAUCGUGACCAAAAAGUUGGUCGACGUAGAGGACACCAACACCUCUGGGACUGUCUCCAUGACAACACAUCAGCAUAUCCUGCCCUCAGAGCCCUGGAGACCCUACCCUACAUUCGUGUACCACUUAUAAUAAUCAUUCUUGAUAUUCUGUAACUGAUUAUUCAGCAUCUUGAAAUCAUGAGAAAAUUAAAGACCAAUGUUGUUUACAUUUCCCCUGUGGUCUGACUUUUGUGGGUGCUUAAAAGUCAUAUUAUGAAC